rnacentral:lncRNA from 1 species
CCAAUUUCAUAUUAAAAAAAUCUACUAUAACAGUAAUGGUAUACAUCUUUCAAUAAAGCAUUUCAAAAAACAAACAAAAUAUGUUAUACUAACAAAAUGAUCCUAUAGUAGUAAGAUGUUUGCCAACCAUUUCAACAAAUCAUUUCAAAAAAAAAAAACAAAAUAUGUUAUGCUAACAAAAUUAUCCUAUAGCAGUAAGAUGUUAACCAACUAUUUCAACAAAUCAUUUCAAAAAAAAC